CCUACGGGAGGCAGCAGUGGGGAAUAUUGGACAAUGGGGGCAACCCUGAUCCAGCCAUGCCGCGUGUGUGAAGAAGGCCCUCGGGUUGUAAAGCACUUUCAGUGAGGAAGAACGCCUGGUGGUUAAUACCCAUCAGGAAAGACAUCACUCACAGAAGAAGCACCGGCUAACUCCGUGCCAGCAGCCGCGGUAAUACGGAGGGUGCGAGCGUUAAUCGGAAUUACUGGGCGUAAAGCGCGCGUAGGUGGCUUGAUAAGCCGGUUGUGAAAGCCCCGGGCUCAACCUGGGAACGGCAUCCGGAACUGUCAAGCUAGAGUGCAGGAGAGGAAGGUAGAAUUCCCGGUGUAGCGGUGAAAUGCGUAGAGAUCGGGAGGAAUACCAGUGGCGAAGGCGGCCUUCUGGACUGACACUGACACUAAGGUGCGAAAGCGUGGGUAGCAAACAGGAUUAGAUACCCGAGUAGUC
rnacentral:rRNA from 1 species